rnacentral:tRNA from 1 species
UGGUGGAAAUGGUUAACAUGCUUGGCUGCUAACCAAAAGGCUGGAGGUUCAAACCCCCC